rnacentral:lncRNA from 1 species
CUGAAAUUCAAAAGGAAAACGAAAUAAAAAAGAAGUACAUAAAGACAAGGUCUAAAAUAAAAAUAAAAAAUGAUAAAAAUGUUUUAUAUAGUGACAAUAUGUAUGAUAAGGAUGGUAAUUAUAAUAAUAUUUUAAAUAAUAUAAAAAAUAGUGAAAAAGUGGAAAGUAAAUUAGAGAAAAAGGAUUUACAUUUAUGUGGACUAGGAAAUAGUAAUGAACAAAAAAUAUAUGACAUAAAAGCAAACACAGAUAAAUGUAAGUACGAAGAUAUUGAAGAAAAUAAUAAUAUGGAAAAUAAAAACGAUUAUAAUUACAAAGGUAAUGAUAAUAAUAAUGAUAAUAAUAAUGAUAAUAAUAAUAAUAAUAAUGAAGUGACAUAUAAAUAUGUUGAAGAAAUGGAAGAAAAGAGUGUAAUAAUACAAGGAGUUGAAAUAAAAUAUCGAAUUUAUAAUUUAGAAGAUGGUAUAUAUAUAGUUGAUAGUGAAAAUUAUAAUAAAAUAAAAAAAUUAUGGAAUGAAAAAGAAUUAAAAAAAGCUAAAGAAAAUUUCGAAAAGCGAUUUGAUAUUAAAAAACAAGGUAUAAAAGAGAAUGAUUGGAUUAUGUUACCAUUUGAACAUGAAGAAAAUAAAAAUAUAAAAUUAAUAAAAGCGGAUUUUGACAAUCCUACAUAUGAUUAUAUAAUAAAAUAUUAUGACAAAGAAAGGAAUUAUUUUUUUGAAUAUAAACAAAGAAAUGAUUAUAAAAUGUUUCGAAAUACUAUUCAUGAAACACCACCAUAUAUGUCUGAAUUAGAAAAGGACAAAAAAUUUUAUGGGAAAGAAAUUAUUAUACCAAAAAAAAGAUUAGAUAAUCAAAUAUUUAGACAACCUAUGUUAAGUGAUGUUUUAACUAGCGGUUAUAAUAAAGAACCGACUGGAUUAGAAUCAUGGAGAUAUGUUGAUCAUCCUUAUGCUGAAUUAUAUCCAUUACCUGUUCAAGAAAAAUCGUAUGGUUUAUCAGAAAAGAUUUUAGGCAAUUGGAUACAGUCCAAAGGAAAAGCAAAUCGGCACAAAUUUGUCAUAGCUACGAAGAUUUGUGGAAGAACUGAUAAGAUACCUUGGAUAAAAAAAUAUAAAACAAGAAAAUUGAAAGGGGAAAAUAAUGGGUUAGACAAUAGUAGUGACAGUUUGAAAAAAUUAAAAGAUUUAAAAUAUAAAGAAGAAUUGUUAUUAAAUAAGAACUAUGAAGCAUUUGAAAAGGUACAAGAAGAAGAAAAAAAAAAUAUGAAAAUGUUUGAAAAAGAUAAGAUAGUAACAUUAAGUAAAGAAAAUAUAAUUUCUAGUGUUGAUAAUAGUUUGGAAAGAUUAAAAGUUAAUUAUAUUGAUUUGUUACAAUUACAUUGGCCUGAUAGAUAUUAUCCUAAUCAAUCAUCUGGUGAUUAUAGUGAUGUUUUAUAUGACUAUACAAAAUAUAAUGAUGAUUAUGUAUCAUUUGUUGAACAAUUAGAAGCAAUAAAUGAAUUAAAAAAAAAAGGAAAAAUAAGAGAAUGGGGUUUAAGUAACGAAACACCUUUUGGUUUAUUAAAAUUUUUUGAUUUAUGUGAACAUUUACAUAUAUCACCACCUGUGUCAAUACAAUUAGAAUAUAAUUUGUUAUGUCGUAAUGAUGUGGAAAGGGUUUUCUUGAAAUAUGUAGACCACAAAAUACAAAUGUUUCUAUAUUAGCUUAUUCUCCUUUAUGUGCAGGUAUAUUAACUGGUAAAUAUUUGGAAUAUACAGAUUAUACAACAAAAGGACGUAUGCAAAAAUUCCCUUCUUAUAUGAAAAGAUUGAGAGGUUCAAUAGCUGCACAUGUUAUCAAAGAAUUAUAUUAUUUAAGUCAAAAAUAUUAUUUUCCAAAUCUUACUGUUGCAGCUUUAAAAUGGGUAUAUACAAGACCUUUUGUUACUUCAACUAUUAUUGGUGUUUCAGAUUUUUUACAAUUACGUGAAAAUUUAUAUUCUCUUACUGAUAAAGUUCUUUUUACCGAUAAGUUUGAGCGUGAAAUAAAUGCCUUGCAUUGGAAAUUCA